rnacentral:rRNA from 1 species
UACAUGCAGUCGAGGGACAGACAAGGAGCUUGCUCCUUUGACGUUAGCGGCGGACGGGUGAGUAACACGUGGGUAACCUACCUAUAAGACUGGGAUAACUUCGGGAAACCGGAGCUAAUACCGGAUAAUAUUUCGAACCGCAUGGUUCGAUAGUGAAAGAUGGUUUUGCUAUCACUUAUAGAUGGACCCGCGCCGUAUUAGCUAGUUGGUAAGGUAACGGCUUACCAAGGCGACGAUACGUAGCCGACCUGAGAGGGUGAUCGGCCACACUGGAACUGAGACACGGUCCAGACUCCUACGGGAGGCAGCAGUAGGGAAUCUUCCGCAAUGGGCGAAAGCCUGACGGAGCAACGCCGCGUGAGUGAUGAAGGUCUUCGGAUCGUAAAACUCUGUUAUUAGGGAAGAACAUACGUGUAAGUAACUGUGCACGUCUUGACGGUACCUAAUCAGAAAGCCACGGCUAACUACGUGCCAGCAGCCGCGGUAAUACGUAGGUGGCAAGCGUUAUCCGGAAUUAUUGGGCGUAAAGCGCGCGUAGGCGGUUUUUUAAGUCUGAUGUGAAAGCCCACGGCUCAACCGUGGAGGGUCAUUGGAAACUGGAAAACUUGAGUGCAGAAGAGGAAAGUGGAAUUCCAUGUGUAGCGGUGAAAUGCGCAGAGAUAUGGAGGAACACCAGUGGCGAAGGCGACUUUCUGGUCUGUAACUGACGCUGAUGUGCGAAAGCGUGGGGAUCAAACAGGAUUAGAUACCCUGGUAGUCCACGCCGUAAACGAUGAGUGCUAAGUGUUAGGGGGUUUCCGCCCCUUAGUGCUGCAGCUAACGCAUUAAGCACUCCGCCUGGGGAGUACGACCGCAAGGUUGAAACUCAAGGAAUUGACGGGGACCCGCACAAGCGGUGGAGCAUGUGGGUUUAAUUCGAAGCAACGCGAAGAACCUUACCAAAUCUUGACAUCCUUUGACAACUCUAGAGAUAGAGCUUUCCCCUUCGGGGGACAAAGUGACAGGUGGUGCAUGGUUGUCGUCAGCUCGUGUCGUGAGAUGUUGGGUUAAGUCCCGCAACGAGCGCAACCCUUAAGCUUAGUUGCCAUCAUUAAGUUGGGCACUCUAAGUUGACUGCCGGUGACAAACCGGAGGAAGGUGGGGAUGACGUCAAAUCAUCAUGCCCCUUAUGAUUUGGGCUACACACGUGCUACAAUGGACAAUACAAAGGGCAGCGAAACCGCGAGGUCAAGCAAAUCCCAUAAAGUUGUUCUCAGUUCGGAUUGUAGUCUGCAACUCGACUACAUGAAGCUGGAAUCGCUAGUAAUCGUAGAUCAGCAUGCUACGGUGAAUACGUUCCCGGGUCUUGUACACACCGCCCGUCACACCACGAGAGUUUGUAACACCCGAAGCCGGUGGAGUAACCAUUUGGAGCUAGCCGUCGAAGGUGGGACAAAUGAUUGGGGUGAAGU